GAUGAACGCUGGCGGCGUGCCUAAUACAUGCAAGUCGAACGGUCCGCAAGGAUAGUGGCGAACGGGUGAGUAACGCGUUGGUGACCUGCCCUGGAGAGGGGGAUAACAGACCGAAAGGUCUGCUAAUACCGCAUGAGCUCUUACGAGUUAGAGAGGUAAGAGGAAAGCCGAAAGGCGCUCCAGGAGGGACCUGCGUCCCAUCAGCUAGUUGGUGAGGUAGAAGCCCACCAAGGCGAUGACGGGUAGGGGACCUGAGAGGGUGGCCCCCCACAAUGGAACAGAAACACGGUCCAUACACAUACGGGUUGCAGCAGUAGGGAAUAUUGGUUAAGCUGCGAAAGCGGGAACCAGCAACGCCGCGUGAACGAUGAAGGCCUUCGGGUUGUAAAGUUCUUUUGGCAGGGAUGAGGAAGGACAGUACCUGUCGAAUAAGUCUCGGCUAACUACGUGCCAGCAGCCGCCGUAAUAC
rnacentral:rRNA from 1 species